rnacentral:snRNA from 1 species
GUUUACAUCAAGUGCACCGGAAA